rnacentral:hammerhead_ribozyme from 1 species
AUCCAGCUGACGAGUCCCGAAUAGGACGAAACGCGCCUCAUGGAU